AGAAGUGAAACGUCUUCAAAAGAAAAAGCAAGGAAGGAAGUUCAGUUUCUUCCUGAAAAAACACCUUUGGAACAACGAUGACCUGGAUGACUGAGAAUCUCUACAGACUUCUCCCCUGGUUGUUUUAAUUCUAUUUAUAUUGUGCUGAUUCGUCAAGAUCUUGAGCAUCCAUCAUGGGAGGUGAAGAUUCUUCAGGAACUGGGGCUGUCUCUUCCAUCUGCCUAAUGAUCAUUGGUUCUAGAUCAUGGGGAUGGCUCAGAGCAGUGCCUUUAAGUCUAAGGGAGAGAAAGAGCAGUUAUCUAGAUAGAUGAGGAAAGAUUUAAAAAAAACAGUAGAAACUGCUGAAGGGGAGAAAAACCCAGAAACUAUCAUGUAGAAGAUGAAUCAGAGUUGCUCCAGAAGACUGGACAAGAAACCAUUGGUUUACAUGACAAAGGAACAGAUGUUAGGAAGGCAUCUGGAAUCAUUUCCUAAUGGCAAGAGCUGUUUAACCAUGGAACUGGCUGACUUGGGAGAUGGUGAACUCGCCUUCAUUGGAGAUGUUUAAAUAAAAGUUGGGUCUUCUUCUGAUUUGGAUGUUAGUGGAUUCUUGAACUGCUUUACAACAGUACGAAUUGGUGUAAGUGUAGUUGUAGCUCAACAUCUGGAAGGUGCUGAACUGGGUUGGGGAAGGCUCUGUAAUUUUCUAAUUCCAAUCCAACUGUCGCUUCAUAGCUAGUCUCCCUAGUUCAUUUGCUGUUAUUAUAGUGUUGUGCUUAUAGUAUCAGUGCAGGCUGAGCUAUCAAGCUUUUUGACCCUCUGUGAUUCUUUGGAAAUGAAGAUGAAAAGAAGUAGAGAGAGAGA